UCAUAUUGUUUCUUAAUUAAACUGC
rnacentral:miRNA from 1 species